CGGGGCGUGGCUCAGUUGGCUAGAGCGCUCGGUUCGGGACCGUGAGAUCGCUGGUUCAAAUCCAGUCGCCCCGA
rnacentral:tRNA from 1 species